AAUGAACGUUGGCGGCGUGGAUUAGGCAUGCAAGUCGAACGCUUUAUGUAGCAAUACAUGAAGAGUGGCGUAAGGGAGAGUAAUACAUAGUUAGCUACCCUCGGGACUGGGAUAGCGGCGGGAAACUGCCGGUAAUACCAGAUGAUAUCUUCGGAUCAAAGGUGUAAUUUCGCCCGAGGAGGUGACUGUGUCCUAUCAGCUUGUUGGCGGGGUAACGGCCACCAAGGCUAAGACGGGUAUGGGGCGUGAGAGCGUGCCCCCA
rnacentral:rRNA from 1 species